CAGAUAGGCUGUUGCUUAGUUUUAAACCCCACACAUGCAUUUAUCUCAUCAAGUACCUUAGCUGCUAUGGGACAUUAUCAAUGUAAAACCAUAUAGAAACAAAUGAGCUCUGAAAAUUUUUUUCUCAGACCUGCUUAAUGACAUUUUCUCUACAAAGUAUGCUAUCAGGGUUAAAACAGAAAAACUGAAAAAGCCAAAUCAAAUGUUGUUCUAUUUUAGGUAAGAUUUAU
rnacentral:lncRNA from 1 species